CUGCCCCAGCAGUUAGAGCGGACAUCACAGCGAAGAGCAGCACGGCAAACAUCUUUUUCUGACUUGCGUAACUGUGCUUCAUUGGAAGACCACACGUCUGAA